UCCGCUUUUGUUUGUUGUACGCCGGAAGCAUUUCUCCUCCGCUGGUCGCCUCCGCCGGCCGCCGCCGCUCCGCUGCCCGAUCCCCUGCUCCAGGGCACUGCCCAACCCAUCGCGAUUCCCCUUCCUGUGUACGGGCGCCGCCCCCUGCCCGAUUCCGCGGGCUUCGGCCCUUCUGUAAGCUGUGCUCUCCCACAUUUCCUCCUUUGCCGGUUCAUCUCUACCCGCUGAAGGAAAAGGCCGCUCAUCCAUGAUUACCACACAUCGAUUGUGUCCUGUCAUACUAGGGUUCUCAGUGCCCUAGAGCCUUCUCCUCACCUGACUCGCCGUCAGCCUUCUGCUCCCCUCACUCUACCAGAUUCGUUUAUCCAGGAAGGUAAUAGAGCCAUAAUUGUUUUUUAACAUUGGACUUUGUGCAUUUCCUAAACUGAAUGGAUCAAUCUCUUAUAAAUUUCCGUCCUGAUUUGAGUUGAUUGCUGUCUUUCGGCGACCAUAUAUGGGGCAAGUUGGUAACAUGGAAGAAGGGCAUGUCAGAACCAUGCAAGUCUGAAUACAUGAUCAACUAGAACUAAAAGAACCUCGAAGAAAUUAUUCACGGAAAAGGUCAGUGUUCUCUCAGUUACAGACCGAUCUCCAGACCGUUGCAGUGGCUUCGAUUUAUUUGACAACAUGCCCAGAAAAAGUUGAUGAACAACCAUACGCUGUUAGCCAUACUGCUACACACACCAGAGAGCUUCGCUUCCAAAAGGCAAAUAUGUAUGUUCAUUGCAAAAUCUGAAUGUUAAAAAUAGAGAUACAGUGGUCCAUAAGUGGCAUCAAUCGGUAUAGUUGUUCUAUGUAUCCAUUUGUUCGUCGCAAAUAUAUCAUAUGGGGUCUCCAAAUGUAUGAUGUAUGUCAAAAACUAUGUGUAGAUCUGUAUGAAACGUUUAUGAACAUGGAGGGAUUGGGAACAUAAAGAAUUGUACGUUGUUCUU